AUUGAACGCUGGCGGCAUGCUUUACACAUGCAAGUCGAACGGUAACAGGCCGCAAGGUGCUGACGAGUGGCGAACGGGUGCGUAAUGCAUCGGAACGUGCCCAGUCGUGGGGGAUAACUACUCGAAAGAGUAGCUAAUACAGCAUACGAUCUAUGAAUGAAAGCGGGGGACCGUAAGGCCUCGCGCGAUUGGAGCGGCCGAUGUCAGAUUAGGUAGUUGGUGGGGUAAAGGCUCACCAAGCCAACGAUCUGUAGCUGGUCUGAGAGGACGACCAGCCACACUGGGACUGAGACACGGCCCAGACUCCUACGGGAGGCAGCAGUGGGGAAUUUUGGACAAUGGGCGCAAGCCUGAUCCAGCAAUGCCGCGUGCAGGAAGAAGGCCUUCGGGUUGUAAACUGCUUUUGUACGGAACGAAACGGCUCUGGUUAAUACCCGGGGCUAAUGACGGUACCGGAAGAAUAAGCACCGGCUAACUACGUG
rnacentral:rRNA from 1 species